rnacentral:rRNA from 1 species
UACGGGGGGGGUAAGCGUUGUUCGGAAUUACUGGGCGUAAAGGGCUCGUAGGCGGCCAACUAAGUCGGACGUGAAAUCCCUCAGCUUAACUGGGGAACUGCGUCCGAUACUGGAUGGCUUGGAUUUGGGAGAGGGAUGCGGAAUUCCAGGUGUAGCGGUGAAAUGCGUAGAUAUCUGGAGGAACACCGGUGGCGAAGGCGGCAUCCUGGACCAAUAUUGACGCUGAGGAGCGAAAGCGUGGGGAGCGAUCCGG